GUGCCAGCAGCCGCGGUAAUACGGAGGGUGCGAGCGUUGUCCGGAAUCACUGGGCGUAAAGGGCGCGUAGGUGGCGCGGUCAGCGUGUGGUGAAAGCUCGGGGCUCAACCCCGAGUCGGCCAUGCGAACUGCCGCGCUCGAGCACUGUAGAGGCAGAUGGAAUUCCGGGUGUAGCGGUGGAAUGCGUAGAGAUCCGGAAGAACACCGGUGGCGAAGGCGGUCUGCUGGGCAGUUGCUGACACUGAGGCGCGACAGCGUGGGGAGCAAACAGGAUUAGAAACCCUAGUAGUCC
rnacentral:rRNA from 1 species